rnacentral:misc_RNA from 1 species
UCUAAACUUCCUAUUUUGCAUUAUCAAUAUUCCAGGCCAAAAGAAAACAUAGGUAGCAUUAAUACCAGAAUGCCCUCCCAAUUAAGAAUCAUGAUACAAAGCUAAUAAAUGUUCCUUCAAAGUCCCAUUAUCUUCUGCAUAAAGCAUGUCUUUAUUAAAUAGAAGACCAUUUUUGAAAGAGUACCCAAGAUGGAUUUUGUCAUCAAAAGAUAAAUGGGAAAUCAAUUCAGUAGCUUGCUUAUCAUUCACAUAGCUCUGAAUUAAAUGAGUCAUCUAAG